rnacentral:sRNA from 1 species
AGUCAUCGGAAGUUGACAGCCAGAGCCAGGAAGAAGAUGAAGACGACAUGGCAACAGAUGACUACAAUUUUCCGUCGAUAACAACUGG